UCCUUUCAAGUCUGCAAAACAACAAUAUAUUAAUGUAAAGUAAUUAGUGUAAACUCGUUUAUGCCCACUCACGGCCGGUACGACCACAAACUCUGCCGUCUCGCCUACAUGAUGUGCGUCCACGCCCACAGUUUUCCCCCUACUCUGGCGAGGCCUCCAGUACUUCCGAAUAUUUUGUUCGGAUUAUUUGCCAUCAAGGAUAAAUUAGCAUACUGUGCACAAACAUAUGUGAUAAAAGUUCCUACGAUUUGACACUACAGAGGUAGAGCAACAUGAAAAAUAAAAGAUCAUGCUUCUAAUCUUCAGACUUGUGUAGUUUAAAAAAAUGGCGAUAACCUUACAACAUUUUUCAGACUCCCGUCCUAAUUGAAAAUCAUUGUUGCAUUAAGGAACACCUAUGGAAUCCAAAAAAACACUAACAGCAAGCAACAAUGACAUGGAUGGCUACCUUAUUGCUUUGGAAGUGGAUGGCAUGAGCCGUCGCCCAGAUGCACGAAACAGUCCCAGCCAUGCACAGCUAGCCGAGAAACAUUGGGUCAAAACAAGGGUGUUGGUACCUUGAGCAACAACGCCAUCACGUUGACAAAUGCCCAACCCAACUGCUCGUGGCCAUCCUCGGCCACCACCUGGACACACUCCUCU
rnacentral:lncRNA from 1 species